rnacentral:lncRNA from 1 species
CGCACUAUCUCUAAGUAUAAAAUGAAUGUUGGUUUGCUCUUAUGGUAAGCCAAACGUACUGAGUGACGUUCACGUUCCUCCAGACUUUGGGGGGUGACAGCUGCAUAUCUUCAGAGCCACUUACCCUUUAAUGCUCCUUGUUUCUCUUAUUUAAUGUGGAAGGCAGUAAAUUGCAAAUGGAGACUAAGGUGCAAAGCCUUGGCGGCAGACAAAAACAAGGGAACUUCAACUUUGUCCUGGACAACAUUUUCAACUUUCGUCUUAGUAGUACAAAUCAAACAAGGACAUUCAGCUAGUAGUGGAAUAUAAGGCUCUUCAGAACAUCAAACAUCAUGCCAACACAGCAAAAGCAAAUGUAUAAUCGGUAUUUGUGACAGCAAAUUUAAAUAUUCAUAUAGGGUUUCAUUAUAAGUAUUAUUCAUACAGAUUAACUUGAGCACUAGCAACUUCUCUUGUUAAGACAACAAGAUUGCUGAUAGCUUUCCAAAAUGCAAGACAGUAUUAAUGUUUAACCAUAUCAACUUUUUAGUCAAUUAGCAUUAUAGGUUGCCUAGAUCUAACCAUUUGGGAAGCACAUCUAACAGCUAAACAACUGGAAAGACUCAUUCAAUCCUCUAGAUGGACUAAAAAAAAAGUGCAACUUCUAGACAGAAACAACACACCUGUACAAAUAAUGGAGA